rnacentral:rRNA from 1 species
UACGGGGGGAGCAAGCGUUGUUCGGAUUUACUGGGCGUAAAGGGCGCGUAGGCGGUCGUGACAAGUCACUUGUGAAAUCUCCGGGCUUAACUCGGAACGGUCAAGUGAUACUGUCGGACUAGAGUACAGAAGGGGCAACUGGAAUUCUCGGUGUAGCGGUGAAAUGCGUAGAUAUCGAGAGGAACACCUGCGGCGAAGGCGGGUUGCUGGGCUGAUACUGACGCUGAGGAGCGAAGCGUGGGAGCGAACAGG